rnacentral:rRNA from 1 species
CCACCGAAUGACUAAGGUUUCCUGGGGAAGGCUCGUCCGCCCAGGGUUAGUCGGGACCUAAGCUGAGGCCGAAAGGCGUAGGCGAUGGACAACAGGUUGAUAUUCCUGUACCAGUCUGCUUUGUUUGAGCAAUGGAGGGACGCAGGAGGCUAAGAUGUGCACGCUGCUGGAAUAGCGUGUCCAAGCAACAAGUCUGAGAAAGAGUCAAAUGCUUUUUCUCUUAAGGACAAGUUGUGAUGGGGAGGGAAAUUAAGUACCGAAGUAUCCGAUGUCACACUGCCGAGAAAAGCUUCUAGUGAGAAGUAGGCUGCCCGUACCGCAAACCGACACAGGUAGUCGAGGAGAGAAUCCUAAGGUGAUCGAGAGAACUCUCGUUAAGGAACUCGGCAAAAUGACCCCGUAACUUCGGGAGAAGGGGUGCUGACCAAUUGGUCAGCCGCAGUGAAUAGGCCCAAGCGACUGUUUACCAAAAACACAGGUCUCUGCUAAUUCGUAAGAAGAUGUAUAGGGGCUGACACCUGCCCGGUGCUGGAAGGUUAAGAGGAAGGGUUAGCUUCGGCGAAGCUCUGAAUUGAAGCCCCAGUAAACGGCGGCCGUAACUAUAACGGUCCUAAGGUAGCGAAAUUCCUUGUCGGGUAAGUUCCGACCCGCACGAAAGGUGUAACGAUUUGGGCACUGUCUCAACGAGAGACUCGGUGAAAUUAUAGUACCUGUGAAAAUGCAGGUUACCCGCGACAGGACGGAAAGACCCCAUGGAGCUUUACUGUAGUUUGAUAUUGAGUGUCUGUACAGCUUGUACAGGAUAGGUAGGAGCCUAUGAAGCCAGGACGCCAGUCUUGGUGGAGGCGUUGGUGGGAUACUACCCUCGCUGUAUGGCCACUCUAACCCACGACCGUUAACCGGUCGGGAGACAGUGUCAGAUGGGCAGUUUGACUGGGGCGGUCGCCUCCCAAAAUGUAACGGAGGCGCCCAAAGGUUCCCUCAGAAUGGUUGGAAAUCAUUCGUAGAGUGUAAAGGCAGAAGGGAGCUUGACUGCGAGACCUACA